UCGACUUCGAUUCCGGGUUCGGGUUCACCCCGUGGACCGGCCCAGACCCGGGCCCGCACCCGAACCAGGACCGUGCGGCCGAACCCGGUCCGAGCGAGCCGGCGGAGAAGGAGCGGGACCCGGCCGAGGAGCGGCGCAUACGGCGCAUGAUCUCGAACCGGGAGUCUCCGCCGCCCCCUCCCCCUCGGCUCACGCCUACAGCGCCGGGCUCGAACACACCUUGGCCUCGCUAAUCGCGUAGCAUUAAAAUAAAAAAUAAAAAAAGAAUAAAGAUAAUCUCUCGCGCGAAUUUUUGAACCGGUAACGACGAGCUCGAACGGGACUCUAUUUUGUAAAUUUGAACACGAAUGGAGGGUAAAAAAGGAAUAACGAAUGGGACGUAUUCGCGGGGUUUCUUAAAACCGCGGGUUUUUUGUGGUGGCGGGAAAUGAUUAGUUUGUAAAUAUUCCUUAUUUUAAGGCCAUUUCUCUUUCUCUCUCUCUCUCUCUCUCUCUCUCUC
rnacentral:lncRNA from 1 species